GUAUGAACGGCAUGCUUAACGGAAGUCUCGCUGCUUCGAAGAUGGCCCUUUUGUUAGCGACCAAGGUCGUACCUCUGGCCACGACUGUUCUCAACCAGACGACUAAAGUCACAGGAGUGAUAUUCGGCAGAGUGGUGCCCAAGGUAUGAGUUAACGACCACCUCCCCAACCACCGAAACACACCCUCUGACAAAAACAAUGUACAUCGGUUUGAAAAAAACGUGAUCCGAAGAGGAAAUGUCGAAACGAAAAUAUUUCGGAUCAUGGUUUUUAUUUACAAGUACCUAUCGAAUGUUCGGAAAUAAAGCGGCGCUGCAGUAUUAUGAAAUAAUCACUUUCAACGACUUUCAACGUGACUCCAGCAGUCCUUCGUUUUGGGUCAAAUAUGAGGUUAGAGCGAAGUUUAUUUCAUAUCUGUCAUAGUUCCAAUAUAAAUUAUAAUUUUUCGUUUAUUUUACAAAUUAUACCUAUACUAGAUAUUUUUCAAGACGAUUUGUACGGUCCAUAUUAUGAUAAAAAUAUAAUGGUUUUCAUCGCUGUCAUUAUUCAGUUUUUCUUUUAAAUAUAUCAAUGGUUCAUAAUUAAUUUAAACAUGAUCGAACACUGUUCGUAACAGUAAACAUCCAAUUUUUUUCAAAUACGAGUUCGAAUAACAUUGUGGUGGUACAACAAAUGCAAUUUAGUUUCUAUAGUAAGUUGAAAGGAAUUAAAAAAAACACCGAUCGUUGCUUUACAUAUAGAAUUUCAUUUUAACUCUGAAUACAGAUUAAAUAUUAUAUUGCCUAUUUUAAACUACCCGUGAGUUCUGAUUUCAAAAUGAGUAAUUGAAAGUUGAAACCCUUCGAACCGAUAUCUACACAAUAUUUGUAUUACAGGAAAGUCGUAUAAUAUCAAAGUUACUAUAAUUCUAGGAGUGUGCGACGUGUGAGAGAGCGACACUUGCAUUGUAUGAAUAUAUCGAAAUGAUUGAGAAUUGUAGAAAAAAUUGGAUGUACACCCUAAUAUUUUAAAUUUAUGACUUGGGGAAUGUUGAUAUAAACGCGAUUUGUUGAUCGGGUCUCUAACUGUGUAAUACAAUAAGCACAUUAACACGGUACGGAUUUGAAAUCAAUAAUGGUUGAAUCUAUAAUAUGUAACCGAACUGCCAAGAACGAUACAUUUUAUUGUGUUUAUUUUCUGUAUAAUAUCUAAAAUAUAAUACUCUGCUCAAAUAAAAUCAAAAAAAACAUUAUCCUAUAAUAUUAUACAAAUAAGCUUAUUAUUAUAAUGUCUUGUACUUUGUACCUACGAAAGCCCAAACAUAUAAACGUAGUAAAAAUGUUUUAAAGGAUUUUGAUGUUUGUUUUGUUUUUUUUUUUGUCAUAAUAUUAUUACCUACUUUUUAUUGUUAUUUAUAUUUAAAUAAAUGUACGUUUUAUAUAAA